rnacentral:rRNA from 1 species
UACAGAGGUCCCAAGCGUUGUUCGGAUUCAUUGGGCGUAAAGGGUGCGUAGGCGGCGCGGUAAGUCGGAUGUGAAAUCUCGGAGCUUAACUUCGAAACUGCAUUCGAUACUGCCGUGCUUGAGGACUCGAGAGGAGACUGGAAUUUACGGUGUAGCGGUGAAAUGCGUAGAUAUCGUAAGGAAGACCAGUGGCGAAGGCGGGUCUCUGGACAGUUCCUGACGCUGAGGCACGAAGGUCAGGGGAGCAAACGGG